AUUACAAACGGUAACAACAUACUGUAAUCAUGGUAUAAAAUCAAUAUUAAAAAAAAAGAGGUAGAAUUUGCACAUUCAUAACAUUUCUUCAUAAAAUAAUUAAAUGUCAGCAUACUCUAUCUCUAUAAGACACACCUUAGCCCAGGUGUCUUCGUCCUCUCAGCCAUAUGAAUUAGUUCUGGUGUGUGUGUGUGUGUGUGUCUUUAGGGAGGCUACCCUGCUGCUGCUGCUGCCGCCGCCGCCGCGUAUCGCUACGCCCAGCCGACGGCCGUAACCGGAGCGGCCGCCGGAGCUGCAACCUACAGCGACAGUUACGGCCGGGUGUACACUACAGAUCCCUACCACGGUUUAACUCCGGCCGCUGCUGCCUACGGAGUGGGAGCCAUGGCCAGUUUAUACCGGGCAGGAUACAGUAGGUUUGCUCCUUACUAAAACCGAAAAUCACCACCGAGGAAUUUCACACAUCGCUCCAAAACCCCUAUAUUUUUUUUCAAGCUCUUUGUUCGGCAGCAGCUCCCCCCCCCCCCCCCCCCAUCAUGUCUCUGCAGGCGGACUAUAGUGACGGCUUGUGUGUGUUUUUUUUUUUUGUCUUUCUCUUCGUGGCGAUGGAGGUCAUUCGCCACAUCCUACAACUCAAACUCUGUUUCUGUACUCUUCUGUGUGUCGCUGACGCAGAAAUCAACGACAAAACUGCCAGAGAGCUGCAGCCCGCGACUUUGAACUACGGGGGCACAAUUUAGGACGGUUUUUAAAACACUACAGGACCUGGAAGGAGAGAGACUGCUGAUCCUGUGUGGUCCUACACACCUUUUUCCGACAAGUCUUUGAACCUAUAUAUACACUGCCCUAUAUACACACUCGCAUUCAGCGGCAACUACACGGUUUCCGUUUUACAUUUUCCUUUGGUGUCGGUAUGCACAGAAUGAUGCCACAGCAUUGCUGUUGAAGGUACUGAUAUUUUUAAACACUACACAAUAAUGAAGCUCCGGACGGCUCGAUUCAGAAGAUACACAACGUUCAGCCUGAGGGAACCAGGAGAGAUCUGGUCUACAGAAAAAACACCGCGACGACAAACACUGCAUGGGAGAAACAAACGCCUUUUUUGUGUCAUUUUUCCAACAUUUCACUUUCGCCGAAUUUAAAAGGAAACACAAGAAAAACAACUAAUGUUGAAAAAAAAAUAAAAAUUCGAAAAAAAGGGGGAAAUGACAAGGAAAAAAAUGGAGUGACUUUUUUUUUCUGCAUUACCUCAGUUUGUCUUUCGUCUGUUUAGUUUUGUCGCCACCGAUAAGAAUUUGCAUAGAAAUGUCAUCAUAUGUAACGUGGACGAACUGUCCACUGUCUUCACAUUUAUUACUGUAGCUGCAACACUAAGACGGGACGCGGAGUCAUCUACGCUACGUUUGUCCAUUAUGAGAACUCCCGCCCCCCCCUCUCUAGAGGCUCACACUGCUUCUUUCACUCGGCCCCGUUUCCUCUGGUGUCUCAUAAACCGUCAGACAUUCCGGCCGUGGCGGCGAAACGGAGCGGGUCAGACGGACGAAGAACCCAUCGAAAUACUAGAUUUAGCAGAUGUGAAGCAGGAACACCCACGCUGGGAAACGAAUCAUGUGCCAGUCAGCCAAAUGGGAAUCCCUCCUGGCCAAUUGAGAUAUUUCUGCUGUGAGGCAGAGCUGCUCCGUGUGUUUGAAACUCAGAAGAACAAGCAGAUCCCAACAGAACGGCCCAGAUUAGAACACAUUGGAAACAAAGAGGUUGCAGUCCUGUGAUGGAGUAAUGAGAAUUUAUCAUUUUACUAUUUAUAUUCCUCGUUGGUUUUUUUGAACGCCACAUGUCCACAUGAUUUUUGGAUUUUUAAACCUGUCGUGAUGCUCUCUGGGAUUGUUCGGUCCGGAUGGUUUUAACGUGUCUGUCCUGUAUUUAUCACAUCUCCGUAUACUCUCACUAUGUUAUUGAUAUUAUUUGCCUUUUUUGGUUCCAAAGAUUUUCUGAAGAAAGCACAUUUUCUUUUGGGGUCCUGAUGUAUUUCUUAGUUUUGUGGUUGAUACAUUUCUUUCUGUGCCUUUUUAUUUUUUUUUUUAUAUAUAUUGUUUUUAAUCUGUGGGUUGAAGCUGUGUUUUUCAGCACAGUGUUGAAACAGCACCCUGGGAAAUGCCAUUGAAACAGCGUCUACAAUAAAAACAAAAGACAGAGCAGCAAUUUAGGGAAUUCUGACCCACAAACAGAGAAAAAAACAACAACCCGGUUAAAUAGAAUUCAGUUCACACACAUUUAUUGGCCUUUUUUUCCCUUUUUAGAGAACGCACGACACAUGCUGUGGAGUGCGGAGGCGUUUUGCUGCAGACAAGGGAAAUCAGUGCAGAUGGAGUGAGUCAUGAGGGAUAAGCAGAAACGGUCUGGAGCGGAUAUUUUGUGUUACGUUUGCCAUUAGGGCCGAAUAACUGGCAAAGUACAGGGAGGGGAGACAUCCACAACAAUGUGGAGCGCGCCCUGUGGCCCUGUGGCCCAGCGGCGGCCACCUUUCGGAACAAUGAAACAAUGCGUGGGAGGUUAGUGGAGGGACAUUGUGCCUGUGACGGUGAAGGUGAGAAGCUGAGCCAUUAAUCAUUAGCUGACAGGAUAACAACGUCCCCUGCUGUCUAUUCUCUUUUCUUCUUCUUUUCGGGGGGCACGGACAGUGCGGGGGGGGGUAAUGUUUUUAUAUGAUUGUGAAAACUGUGCAGUAGGUCCAAUGAGUAUUUCUGACGCGCAUUACCUCUUUUUUUCCGUCUUAUUAUUCCUUACAAGUAUUAUCAGAAGUGUUGCUAUGCAUGCUUUUGUGAGAGAGGAAGGGCGUCAGCCAGAGAACCCUUUUUCAUUGUAGUGCAUGAAUUUCAAAUCAUAGUGCUGGAGGAGGAAGAUGAGGAGGAAGAUGAUUAUGAGGAGGGGGAGGGAAGGAGGGUGUUCACAUAGCAGGAGGAGGAAAGGACUCGGAUGUUAUGUGAUGAGAGGUAGAGAGUCUGUUGUGAGGCGAGAGGCAAGCGGCCAUGUGGCUUUGCAGGAGCCGCUCUGCGCCUCUGUAGCCGCUGCUGUGAUCACCAGCCGUGUCGGGGAUGUGUGACGUUUAAUUUGGCACGUCUAGCCCCCCCCUCGUGGUUUACUUUUAUAAUGACAAUACAACUCAAGAACAUUCACCUUAACGACACGGCCCCACCCCGCCUAAUGAUUAUUCUGCUGUAAAAUAGGGAGAGAGAGAAACAAGUCACGCGCGCAGCGCUGCGUGAGGCUGGUGAACGGGCAGCAGCUGCUCCAGAGCGGGACGGUGAACCGGCCACGUGCAGAUGCUCGUUUAGCGGAGUCUCCACCUCGCGCUGCCCGGUCGAGGCGGCGUAAUCGUUAUCGAGCAGCAGCCUCGGUGACUCCGUGCGGGGUCUAAUUGGAGCGAAGCUAGGGCUGCUGGAGCACACACACAUAUACCUACACGCGCACACACACUAGAGAGAGCAGAGGUUCUCCUCAGCCGCUGACCCCGAACCCCCUCCCCUGCACUGUGCUCGAGUCAACCCAGUGGGAGUUUUUGUGUACAGGGAUCUCAUGAGUUUGAAUUGCAUGUGGAUUUUUCUUUUGUUAAACGUCACAUGCUCUUAAAAGCUCAUUUAUCCAAGUGAUUAUUUUUUUUCCAAUAAGUGACGUGUAUUUUCUCACAAUGUUUUAUUUUUUGCCAUCCUUGUGUUUAUUCUCUUCAUUAUUAUUGAAUGUAUAUAAUAAAUAAACUGUUUGGUUUU